CCUACGGGUGGCAGCAGUGGGGAAUAUUGCGCAAUGGGGGAAACCCUGACGCAGCAACGCCGCGUGAUUGAAGAAGGCCUUCGGGUUGUAAAGAUCUUUAAUCGGGGACGAAUUUUGACGGUACCCGAAGAAUAAGCACCGGCUAACCACGUGCCAGCAGCCGCGGUAAUAAGAAGGGGGCAAGCGUUAGCCGGAUUUACUGGGUGAAAAGGGCGUGUAGGUGGGCAUGCAAGCCAGAAGUGAAAUCUGGGGGCUUAACCCGCAAACUGUUUUGGAACUGCGUGUCUUGAGUGGUGGUGAGGCAGGCGGAAUUCCCAGGGUAGCGGUGAAAUGCGUAGAUAUUGGGAGGAACACCAGUGGCGAAGGCGGCCUGCUGGACAUUAACUGACGCUGAGGCGCGAAAGCGUGGGGAGCAAACAGGAUUAGAUACCCGUGUAGUC
rnacentral:rRNA from 1 species